CAGGUUUUUCAAAAAUCUGAAGUGGACACCUAUUUGGAUGCCCCAACCACAGAUGGGUUUGAUGAAUUCAUGCAGUUUCCAAAGCUCAGAAGGCUGUUCAUAAAACACAACACUGCCCUGCCCUCAAGCGCUCCAGUAGAGAGGCUCUUUAGCAUCGGUGGUCUAAUAUUAAGACCGAGGAGAAACCGGCUGGGAGAUGCCAACUUUGAGAAGCAGCUGAUCUUGAAUGCCAACAAAAAGAUUUGAAGGAAGCAAAAAACAGCAGAUCCACCAGGGAGAGACCACUGUGACCGAGGAUCAUCAUUCAGAUAAGGGAUUUUUGGGCUGGACAGAAAAUAACACUGUCCUUGGCCCUGCAUACUUUUCAUUAAUUAGUAUUAUUUUAGUUAUUUAUGUGGACUGUAACCAGUGACAUAUAUUCAUUCAGUUAAGGUAUUUUCACUCACUGGACAGAAAGUAGAAGCACUGUCCAUGGCCUUGGAACCAGACUCUGAGUCUUUUAAGUUAUUGUUUUUUGUUUUUUUUUACUCAUUCAAUGGCCAAAAAAUUGAAAAGUGACUUGAUAAUGUUUAAAUGUUUUGCACUUUGAAUAUUGCACUUUCAAGUUCAACCUUAAAUUCCUACCUCAGCCUGGUCCCUCAGUUUGUGUUAAAAUGUUCUUGAGGGUUUUACUAUUCAUGUAACUUGUUUGUUAAACCUGCCUGGUAUAAUUUUCCAGGAUUCCAGUAUUCCUUUUUAGUAUGUACUGAAAUGCAAUUUCAAAUGGAAAAAAAAUAUUAAAAUUAAAAAAACAUUUGCACCUAAAAGACUACUUUCCUGUUUUUUUUUUUAAUAAUUCCUCAUAAAAAAGACCUUUCAAGCAGCACAUUUUUCCUGAUGUUUUUGAGAAUAUACUGUAGGGGUGAAAGCUGCAGCUGCUACUAGUGUGAAGUGAAUG